rnacentral:rRNA from 1 species
AUUGAACGCUGGCGGCAGGCCUAACACAUGCAAGUCGAACGGUAACAGGUUAAGCUGACGAGUGGCGAACGGGUGAGUAAUGCAUCGGAACGUGCCCGAUCGUGGGGGAUAACGCAGCGAAAGCUGCGCUAAUACCGCAUACGAUCUGAGGAUGAAAGCGGGGGACCGUAAGGCCUCGCGCGAUCGGAGCGGCCGAUGUCAGAUUAGGUAGUUGGUGGGGUAAAGGCUCACCAAGCCAACGAUCUGUAGCUGGUCUGAGAGGACGACCAGCCACACUGGGACUGAGACACGGCCCAGACUCCUACGGGAGGCAGCAGUGGGGAAUUUUGGACAAUGGGCGAAAGCCUGAUCCAGCAAUGCCGCGUGCAGGAAGAAGGCCUUCGGGUUGUAAACUGCUUUUGUACGGAGCGAAAAGGCUCUCUCUAAUACAGGGGGCUCAUGACGGUACCGUAAGAAUAAGCACCGGCUAACUACGUGCCAGCCGCCGCAGUAA